rnacentral:rRNA from 1 species
GGGCCCGCACAAGCGGUGGAGCAUGUGGUUUAAUUCGAUGCAACGCGAAGAACCUUACCUGGUCUUGACAUACACAGAAUCUUGUAGAGAUACGAGAGUGCCUUCGGGAAUUGUGAUACAGGUGCUGCAUGGCUGUCGUCAGCUCGUGUCGUGAGAUGUUGGGUUAAGUCCGGCAACGAGCGCAACCCUCGUUCCUAGUUGCCAGCGGGUAAUGCCGGGGACUCUAGGAAGACAAACCUCGUGUAGAGGUGGGAAGGUGGGGACGACGUCAAGUCAGUAUGGCCCUUACGACCAGGGCUGCACACGUGCUACAAUGCCUGGCACAAUGGGAUGCAAUACCGCGAGGUUGAGC